CUCACCCAAUGACCUGGUACUGCCCGGUAUAU
rnacentral:scRNA from 1 species